rnacentral:rRNA from 1 species
AUUGAACGCUGGCGGCAUGCCUUACACAUGCAAGUCGAACGGCAGCACGGGGGGUAACCCCUGGUGGCGAGUGGCGAACGGGUGAGUAAUAUAUCGGAACGUGUCCUGUAGCGGGGGAUAACCUAUCGAAAGAUGGACUAAUACCGCAUACGACCUACGGGUGAAAGCGGAGGACCGCAAGGCUUCGCACUAUAGGAGCGGCCGAUAUCGGAUUAGCUAGUUGGCGGGGUAACGGCCCACCAAGGCGACGAUCCGUAGCUGGUCUGAGAGGACGAUCAGCCACACUGGAACUGGGACACGGUCCCGACUCCUACGGGAGGCAGCAGUGGGGAAUUUUGGACAAUGGGCGCAAGCAUGAUCCAGCCAUGCCGCGUGAGUGAAGAAGGCCUUCGGGUUGUAAAGCUCUUUCGGCGGGGACGAAACGGUUCGUGCUAAUACCACGGACUACUGACGGUACCCGCAGAAGAAGCACCGGCUAACUACGUG